GAUGAACGCUAGCGACAGGCUUAACACAUGCAAGUCGAGGGGUUUGCUUUGGCAAACGACCGGCGCACGGGUGAGUAACGCGUAUCCAACCUGCCAUUCAUAUUGGGAUAGCCCUCCGAAAGGAGGAUUAAUACCGAAUAACAUAUUGUUGUUGCAUGAUAUCAAUAUGAAAGCUGAGGCGAUGAAUGAUGGGGAUGCGUUCCAUUAGGUAGUAGGCGGGGUAACGGCCCACCUAGCCGACGAUGGAUAGGGGUUCUGAGAGGAAGGUCCCCCACACUGGAACUGAGACACGGUCCAGACUCCUACGGGAGGCAGCAGUGAGGAAUAUUGGUCAAUGGGCGCAAAGCCUGAACCAGCCAAGUAGCGUGAAGGAAGACUUGCCCUAUGGGGUUGUAAAACUUCUUUUGUUCGGGAAUAAAAGUGCAGUAUGUAUACUGUUUUGUAUGUACCCGUUCGAAUAAAGCAUCGGCUAAAUUCCGUGCCAGCA
rnacentral:rRNA from 1 species